AACACCUACCCACUGAACAAGGCAUUCAUGCAUUGUAGAAGGAAUACAACAAUUGGCAUGAAUCCAAUCUCUCCCUAGUAGUAAAUUAUAUACACCUUUUCCAUUCAUAACAAAGAAGGUCAUCGGCAAGGUCUUGUCGCCGAUGGUUAAUUCAACGCAUAUAGCUCCCUUAACUGGAGACACAUUUCCUUCAAAAUCCUUCAACAUCAUAUCGGUCUUGGUUAAAUCCAGAUAUCCUUUGCCAAGCUUCCGAUACACCAC
rnacentral:lncRNA from 1 species